rnacentral:rRNA from 1 species
CCCGUACACAAAAAUGCACAUACUGUGAGCUCGAUGAGUAGGGCGGGACACGUGGUAUCCUGUCUGAAUAUGGGGGGACCAUCCUCCAAGGCUAAAUACUCCUGACUGACCGAUAGUGAACCAGUACCGUGAGGGAAAGGCGAAAAGAACCCCGGCGAGGGGAGUGAAAAAGAACCUGAAACCGUGUACGUACAAGCAGUGGGAGCCUCUUUAUGGGGUGACUGCGUACCUUUUGUAUAAUGGGUCAGCGACUUAUAUUCUGUAGCAAGGUUAACCGAAUAGGGGAGCCGAAGGGAAACCGAGUCUUAACUGGGCGUUAAGUUGCAGGGUAUAGACCCGAAACCCGGUGAUCUAGCCAUGGGCAGGUUGAAGGUUGGGUAACACUAACUGGAGGACCGAACCGACUAAUGUUGAAAAAUUAGCGGAUGACUUGUGGCUGGGGGUGAAAGGCCAAUCAAACCGGGAGAUAGCUGGUUCUCCCCGAAAGCUAUUUAGGUAGCGCCUCGUGAAUUCAUCUCCGGGGGUAGAGCACUGUUUCGGCAAGGGGGUCAUCCCGACUUACCAACCCGAUGCAAACUGCGAAUACCGGAGAAUGUUAUCACGGGAGACACACGGCGGGUGCUAACGUCCGUCGUGAAGAGGGAAACAACCCAGACCGCCAGCUAAGGUCCCAAAGUCAUGGUUAAGUGGGAAACGAUGUGGGAAGGCCCAGACAGCCAGGAUGUUGGCUUAGAAGCAGCCAUCAUUUAAAGAAAGCGUAAUAGCUCACUGGUCGAGUCGGCCUGCGCGGAAGAUGUAACGGGGCUAAACCAUGCACCGAAGCUGCGGCAGCGACACUAUGUGUUGUUGGGUAGGGGAGCGUUCUGUAAGCCUGCGAAGGUGGCCUGUGAGGGUUGCUGGAGGUAUCAGAAGUGCGAAUGCUGACAUAAGUAACGAUAAAGCGGGUGAAAAGCCCGCUCGCCGGAAGACCAAGGGUUCCUGUCCAACGUUAAUCGGGGCAGGGUGAGUCGACCCCUAAGGCGAGGCCGAAAGGCGUAGUCGAUGGGAAACAGGUUAAUAUUCCUGUACUUGGUGUUACUGCGAAGGGGGGACGGAGAAGGCUAUGUUGGCCGGGCGACGGUUGUCCCGGUUUAAGCGUGUAGGCUGGUUUUCCAGGCAAAUCCGGAAAAUCAAGGCUGAGGCGUGAUGACGAGGCACUACGGUGCUGAAGCAACAAAUGCCCUGCUUCCAGGAAAAGCCUCUAAGCAUCAGGUAACAUCAAAUCGUACCCCAAACCGACACAGGUGGUCAGGUAGAGAAUACCAAGGCGCUUGAGAGAACUCGGGUGAAGGAACUAGGCAAAAUGGUGCCGUAACUUCGGGAGAAGGCACGCUGAUAUGUAGGUGAAGUCCCUCGCGGAUGGAGCUGAAAUCAGUCGAAGAUACCAGCUGGCUGCAACUGUUUAUUAAAAACACAGCACUGUGCAAACACGAAAGUGGACGUAUACGGUGUGACGCCUGCCCGGUGCCGGAAGGUUAAUUGAUGGGGUUAGCGGUAA